AUGGCAGCCAGUGACCCAUGGUCUUACUGUCAUUACCACCUUUCAUGUCUUUGCUCUCUCUCUGCAGAACGCCCAGUAGUGUUUGAAGUUCCCGUGGCUACAGUGGCACAUGUGGUCUUGCCAUGUUCCCCAAGUUCAGCAUGGGCGUCCUGUGUGUGGCACCAGCCCAGUGGAGUGACUGCACUUACCCCUCGGCGGGAUGGGCUAGAGGUGGUGGUAACCCCAGGCACCAUGGGUGCUUAUGCCUGCGAAUGUCAGGAGGGGGGGGCGGCCCGUGUGGUAGCUGCUUACAGCUUGGUGUGGGGCAGCCAGCGGGCCCCCCCAAGUCAGGCCCACACAGUGGGGGCUGGACUGGCCGGCUUUCUCCUGGGGGUUCUUGCAGCAUCCCUGACUCUCCUUCUGAUCGGUCGUCGUCAGCAGCGACGGCGACAGAGGGAACUUCUGGCUAGAGACAAGGUGGGCUUGGACCUAGGGGCCCCACCGUCUGGGACCACGAGCUACAGCCAGGACCCUCCCUCACCUUCUCCUGAAGAUGAACGGCUGCCCCUGGCCCUGGCCAAGAGGGGCAGUGGCUUUGGUGGCUUCCCUCCACCCUUCCUGCUCGAUCCUUGCCCGAGCCCAGCCCACAUUCGGCUUACUGGGGCUCCUCUAGCCACAUGUGAUGAAACGUCCAUCUAGGGCAAGUGACCACUAGUGCACGGGUGACUGUUGGAGGGGGAUGACCAUCUAGAUGCUGGGGGUACUGGGCCUGGAAGACGGUCAUGGGCUCUGAGUUCUCUUUGGUCUUUGCGUCUGCCCUCUUGGGACCUGGCUGGGCUCGGGGCCAAGCCUGUGCUUGAUUUCCUGAUUCCCACGAGAGACCAGAGCUGCUGUCUCCAGUGAAUCAGGACUUUUCCCACCUCUGCCCUCUGAACCGCUGAGACCCCCUUCAGCCUUGGCCUCCUCUCUUCGGGGAUGGGGUACAGGACAUAGCUCUGACUUUGCCUUCUGGUGGGCCCUGGCUGGAAGGAAGAGCACUAGAGGUGGUGGGGGGCUAGUGUGCAUUAAGUCCUUCUGUUCAUUCUCUUAGUUUAUUGGAUUCUCUGUGGGGAGUGCAUGAUCCCCGUGUUGCAACAUGCAAUCUCUGCCCUGAGAUGUCCCCCAACCCAGUUAGUUGCCCUUCUUCCAUGAAAGAGUGUGUGUCAAUAUGCAGGUGUUCGUGGGAGGCCUGGCCACACGUGCAUGCAUGACUGGGCCAGUGCUCUGGUGUACCCCUGGGGGGUCAGACGGGGGAAGAUGGGAAUGAGGCAUUGCCUGCAGAACUUCAGACCCUGUAGCCAGUGAAGGAAGGGUUUUCCUUUCUAAAAGGAAACAAACCACCACCCCAUCCCCAUCACCUCCCACAACCCUUCUCUUGAGUAGAGGGAAAACCCCCAAAGUGACCUUUUGGGUGGGAGGGACAGCGGUACACAGGACCCCAUCAUUUUCUUUGUUUUUGCCUCCCGGCUGCCACCACUGCCACACACAGCUGUUCUUUCUCUGGCUGGAGUAUAGGCUGGACCCCCCUUCUUCGGCUCCCGUUAAAAAAACUUCACAACAUUCUAAGUAUUAAGGGACAACAAAAGGGGAACAGUCAUAGGAAAUACAAGUUGCAUAAAAAUAGGUUUGUAUCAGUGACUUUACUCAGGUUGACACCCUUGCCCUAAGUCAGAAGUUCUCCACCUGGGGUCCGUGGACUCCCUGAAAUCGUAUGCAAAAUGUUGUCUGUACAUGUGUGUCUGUAUUUUUAUGGGGGGUGGGGUGGGUGGGUAUGGCUUUCAUCAGCUUCUCAAGGCCUUAACAAAGCUAAAGGACCAUGCCUCGAGGUCGCCACCCAGUGGUCAAGCUGAGGGAGUGCCACUCACGGCAGUUCUUCCUGCCCCACCAUCCGUUCCCUGUGGUCAGCCCCUGGACUCACAGCCGCUGGAUGCCCUCUUGUUUCUCCGGUUUCUGGAAGCUGGGCUCUGCGUGUAUUUGAAGAUACUAUCAAUUCCUACCAAACAUAAAGACCUCUUCCUGCUUCACAGCUCCCGGAUGAUCUAGGCGUCUCCUGCUCAGUUCUGGUCUUGGCCUGUGUAUGUGCCUCGUUCAUCCCUGGUAAGGGACCCCCUUGAGCUCCAGUGAAUGAUCCAGCCCUUCCCAGUUGAAGUUUUCAGCUCUACUUUCCUUGGCAGCAGCCUGUGAACUAUUCAAGAGUCCCCUUGGGCUUGGAAUUACCAGUGGCUUUGCACUGGUAAUACAUAAAUAGGUGUAUGAUUUUCAGCAGGUAAUCUAAUGUAGGAACACUGGUUUACUCAUCUGUAAAGUGGGGAUAGUAAUACCUACCUCAGGGUUGCUGCAAGGAUUGAAUGGGAAAACAUGUAAACAAUAAAGCACUAUCUAUACCAGUA